AAAAAAAACAAGCGCAGUGUGACUGGAAGCAGUGCAAGAAAGAAUUGUGCAACAAGCAAAUGCGGACACAAAAAAGGGCAGUGAAAGAAAGACUACGCUAGUUGUCCUUGGCAGGUUCAUCUGUUCUUUUCGGUUCAUCUCUUUUCCGUAUUUCGUUCCUUUUCUUCUCUCUUUUUCUCUCUUUUUGUUUUAUCUCCUGUCAUUCAUUCAGGCAUUCUAACACCCUCAGAGAGGCUGGCAGAAAGAAAGGAGACGGCCAGCUUGAAGGAAAGGGAAGAA
rnacentral:ribozyme from 11 species